rnacentral:rRNA from 1 species
CCUACGGGGGGCUGCAGUCGAGAAUCUUUCGCAAUGGGCGCAAGCCUGACGAAGCGACGCCGUGUGAGCGAAGAAGGCCUUCGGGUUGUAAAGCUCUUUCGCUAGGGAACAAGAGAGAUAGGAUAACACCCUAUUGAUUUGAUGGUACUUGGUAAAGAAGCACCGGCUAACUCCGUGCCAGCAGCUGCGGUAAUACGGAGGGUGCAAGCAUUGAUCGGAAUUACUGGGCGUAAAGGGCGCAGUCGCAGGAGAAAUUCCGGGGCUCAACCCCGGAGCUGCAUUUGAAACUAUUCUGCUAGAGUUCAGUUAGGGUAAACGGAAUUCCACGUGUAGCGGUGAAAUGCGUAGAUAUGUGGAAGAACACCGGUGGUGAAGACGGUUUACUGGGCUGAAACUGACGCUGAGGCGCGAAAGCAUGGGGAGCAAACAGGAUUAGAUACCCGUGUAGUC